UCAUCAGGCGUUUUCGGAAACUUACUCAGGGUUACUAACUCGAUCCAUUGAGGUCACGUGACGGAUCUUCUCGGAUCACUGACCCGGUUCUAAGUUCACGAACUUAUCAGGUUAGGAUUUGGAAGUGUCAGUCGUGAGAAUAACAUAACCAAAACAGAAAUUUUAUAUUCCUAUUGGAACUUCGUUUCAUGGAUGAAUAUUUAUACACGAUACAAAGCCUGUUUACAUUAUAUUACCAGAGACAGUUCUGGGAUUAUUGGAUACACAAGAUUCUUGAUGCUCCAGGAACAAGCAAGAAAUUCAUAAAAACUUGAGUGAUCUGGAAGUUUUCUUGGGGAUUGGAUCAUCCUAGAAUCUGCAGUUCCCCAGGACCUCAAGAAAACAAUAACCAAGAUUUUACCGAAAUUGGGAGGGGCUGCUAGUUUGAGCGUUGUAAUUUUCAAGAAAAAAUAAAUAAAUAACAAAAUAUGGAAUGAUUUUAUUCCCAGUCAGUUUUUCUGGGUUCCUGUUCCCAAUUAAUAAUUGGAUUUUCUGAUGCUUUGCUUGAAUUCAUUGGCGUUUGCCAUAUCUUAAAAUUUGUAGUGUGAUCGAUAUCAAUAUCUAUUUAUCAAAAUUAGGAGCAAGAAGAAAAUUGCAGCUAUAGUGGAAUUAGCUAAUGAAAAUACACAUUUCACAUUGAGCCGAAUUCUCUUCUAUUUCCAUAAAUAUUGAGAAUAAGAGUAGAAAGCUUAUUCCCGCGUUUUUCAGAUACAAAACUAAACUGCAGUGCGCAUGCGGUGACUCUAGCGAUUCGAACGACCCUGCUUUUGUGUAGGGUUACGGUAAAACAACCCGAGUUAGUGAUCGAGUUAGCAGCACCGUACUUUCCGAACACGGGUUGGAUGUUCGGGUUAGGUAAACGAACGCAAGGGUUAGGGAUCGAAUGAACCCGG